rnacentral:rRNA from 1 species
CAAUGGGCGCAAGCCUGAUCCAGCCAUACCGCAUGGGUGAAGAAGGCCUUCGGGUUGUAAAGCCCUUUGUUGGGAAAGAAAUCCAGCUGGUUAAUACCCGGUUGGGAUGACGGUACCCAAAGAAUAAGCACCGGCUAACUUCGUGCCAGCAGCCGCGGUAAUACGAAGGGUGCAAGCGUUACUCGGAAUUACUGGGCGUAAAGCGUGCGUAGGUGGUCGUUUAAGUCCGUUGUGAAAGCCCUGGGCUCAACCUGGGAACUGCAGUGGAUACUGGGCGACUAGAGUGUGGUAGAGGGUAGCGGAAUUCCUGGUGUAGCAGUGAAAUGCGUAGAGAUCAGGAGGAACAUCCAUGGCGAAGGCAGCUACCUGGACCAACACUGACACUGAGGCACGAAAGCGUGGGGAGCAAACAGGAUUAGAUACCCUGGUAGUCCACGCCCUAAACGAUGCGAACUGGAUG